AUGAUAGUAAGGUGGAAAGAACAAAAAUGGUGCCGCUUUGUUAUUGAAUUUAGGAUAAUUUGUGAUACUCUUCAGUUCUACGAGUACUCAAGCUUCCUUCUCCCCAUUCUCUGCCGCACAGCUCUGCCAGUUUGUCAAACGCCUCCACCGUCUCAUCCAAUGCUUCAGAUUCAGACUGUAGUGAUUUCACCUUUCUUGAACACUCUAUCACAUGAUUACUCUCUUCGGGAACGAAAUUCAUGA